rnacentral:rRNA from 1 species
UGAGGAAUUUUGCGCAAUGGGGGAAACCCUGACGCAGCAACGCCGCAUGAGUGAUGAAGGCCUUCGGGUCGUAAAGCUCUGUCAGGCGGGAAGAAAGUGUUUCAUGUGAAUAACAUGAGAUAUUGACGGUACCGCCGACGGAAGCACCGGCUAACUCCGUGCCAGCAGCCGCGGUCAUACGGAGGGUGCAAGCGUUAGUCGGAUUUAUUGGGCGUAAAGGGCGCGCAGGAGGCCUGUUAAGUCAGAUGUGAAA